CAUAAUGUAAAUCUUUGUCCAAUAUUUGACCGUCCGUCUUAUUUGAAAUAUUUAUAAAAACUUUUUUAAAGAAUAGUCACACAUAAAAUACUAUUCAUAUUUUAUCAUUUAAUAAUAAUAAAAAUAGUAAUCAUAAAAAUUUUUCACAUAAGAUGAACGGUCAAACGUUGAAGAUGAAUAGUGCAAAAUUGCACUUAUU
rnacentral:pre_miRNA from 1 species